rnacentral:rRNA from 1 species
CCCUUAGAUGUCCUGGGCCGCACGCGCGCUACACUGAUGCAUUCAACGAGUUUUACCUUGGCCGAGAGGCCUGGGCAAUCUUUUAAACCUGCAUCGUGAUAGGGAUAGAUUAUUGCAAUUAUUAAUCUUGAACGAGGAAUUCCUAGUAAACGCAGAUCAUCAAUCUGCAUUGAUUACGUCCCUGCCCUUUGUACACACCGCCCGUCGCACCUACCGAUUGAAUGGUCCGGUGAAGCCUCGGGAUUGUGGCCAGUUCACUUUAUUGGGAGUUGGCUGCGAGAACUUGUCUAAACCUUAUCAUUUAGAGGAAGGUGAAGUUGUAACA